rnacentral:rRNA from 1 species
GCUAGGAUGAACGCUAGCGGCAGGCUUAACACAUGCAAGUCGAGGGGCAACGCGAGUAGCAAUACUUGGCGGCGACCGGCGCAAGGUGCGUAACGCGUGAGCAACAUGCCCGUAUCAGGGGGAUAAUCCAGGGAAACUUGGUCUAAUACCCCAUAGUAAUUUUGUAAGGCAUCUUAUAAGAUUUAAAGCUUUGGUGGAUACGGAUUGGCUCGCGUGACAUUAGGCUGGAUGGUAAGGUAACGGCUUACCAUGGCUAUGAUGUCUAGGGGUUCUGAGAGGAAGGUCCCCCACACUGGAACUGAGACACGGCCCAGACUCCUACGGGAGGCAGCAGUGAGGAAUAUUGGACAAUGGAUGGAAAUCUGAUCCAGCCAUGCCGCGUGAAGGAAGAAGGUCCUAUGGAUUGUAAACUUCUUUUGUAUGGGAGCAAUAAGGCCUACGAGUAGGUUGAUGAGAGUACCAUACGAAUAAGCACCGGCUAACUCCGUGCCAGCCGCGGC